rnacentral:rRNA from 1 species
GAUGAACGCUGGCGGCGUGCUUAACACAUGCCAGUCGAACGAUGAAGCCCAGCUUGCUGGGUGGAUUAGUGGCGAACGGGUGAGUAACACGUGAAUAACCUGCCCUUGACUCUGGGAUAAGCCUGGGAAACUGGGUCUAAUACUGGAUAUGACUUCUCAUCGCAUGGUGGGGGGUGGAAAGAUUUAUUGGUCUUGGAUGGACUCGCGGCCUAUCAGCUUGUUGGUGGGGUAAUGGCUCACCAAGGCGACGACGGGUAGCCGGCCUGAGAGGGUGACCGGCCACACUGGGACUGAGACACGGCCCAGACUCCUACGGGAGGCAGCAGUGGGGAAUAUUGCACAAUGGGCGCAAGCCUGAUGCAGCGACGCCGCGUGAGGGAUGACGGCCUUCGGGUUGUAAACCUCUUUCAGUAGGGAAGAAGCGAGAGUGACGGUACCUGCAGAAGAAGCGCCGGCUAACUACGUG